AAUAACUUCAUUUUUCAGUUUUUUGAUAAAUGUUUUGACUAUUCGUCUUAUUUAAAAUUUUUUUACGAUUAAUAUUUUUAUUGUUACUAGAUGAUAAAACACGAAUGAAUAGUACUUUAUGCGUAACUAAUUUUUUCAAGUUUUUUAUAAAUUUUUCAAAUAAAACGAAUGGUCAAAUGUUGGACACGGAAAA
rnacentral:pre_miRNA from 1 species